rnacentral:misc_RNA from 1 species
AAAUUUUAUAGGAACAAACCAAAGAAGAUUGGGUCGUUUCACUCUCACAGUAAUCAGCAUAUGGUGGCUUCCAAUGAUCAGAGAACUAUUGUGAAGCGAAAUGGGGUUCAUAGGUGGAAUAUGAGCUUACCUGGGAGGUCUAAUAAGAAGCAUUACCGUCAUGAAGGAUCUCGUGGGUCAGCCAUUGAGCAAUUUGACAGUUCAGAUCUUCAUGAGUUCAGGUUGCGUGACGCCUCCGGAGCAGCACAGCAUGCUCUUAACGUGGCAAAGCUGAAGAGGGAGAAGGCCCAAAGGUUACUCUAUAGAGCUGAUCUAGCCAUCCAUAAAGCUGUUGUCGCUCUCAUGACUGCUGAGGCAAUCAAAGCUGCUGCUCUGAGCGCAAAUGGUGAUGGUUAGGUUGUGACUUGUGUCUGAGUAUGGUGAUUACCACCAAAUCAAG